ACUCCUACGGGAGGCAGCAGCGGGGAAUUUUGCGCAAUGGGCGAAAGCCUGACGCAGUAACGCCGCGUGGAGGAUGAAGGCCUUCGGGUUGUAAACUCCUGUCAGGGGGAACGACGGGGCAAGGGCGAUAAACUCUUGCCUCCAGACGGUACCUCCAAAGGAAGCCCCGGCUAAUUCCGUGCCAGCAGCCGCGGUAAUACGGAAGGGGCGAGAGUUGUUCGGAAUCAUUGGGCGUAAAGGGCGCGUAGGUGGUUCUGUAUGUCUACCGUGAAAGCGUACGGCUCAACCGUAUUUUGUCGGUAGAAACUGCAGGACUUGAGGCUGGGAGGGGCUGGUGGAAUUCCCUGUGUAGCGGUGAAAUGCGUAGAGAUGGGGGAGAACACUCGUGGCGAAGGCGGCCAGCUAGACCAGUUCUGACACUGAGGCGCGACAGCGUGGGGAGCAAACAGGAUUAGAUACCCUGGUAGUCCACGCUGUAAACGAUGGGCACUAGGUGCCGGCGGUCUUGAUCCCGUCGGUGCCGGCGCUAACGCAGUAAGUGCCCCGCCUGGGGAGUACGGCCGCAAGGCUGAAACUCAAAGGAAUUGACGGGGGCCCGCACAAGCGGUGGAGCAUGUGGUUUAAUUCGACGCAACGCGAAGAACCUUACCUGGGUUUGACAUGUGCAGGACAGGUGAUGAAAGUCACCCUCCCUUCGGGGCCUGUGCACGGGUGCUGCAUGGCUGUCGUCAGCUCGUG
rnacentral:rRNA from 1 species